GACCUUAGUUGCCAGCAUUCAGUUGGCACUCUAAGGUGACUGCCGGCUAAAAGUCGGAGGAAGGUGGGGAUGACGUCAAAUCAUCAUGCCCUUAUGACCUGGGCUACACACGUGCUACAAUGGGCGGUACAAAGGGUCGCGAACCCGCGAGGGGGAGCCAAUCCCAAAAAGCCGCUCUCAGUUCGGAUUGCAGGCUGCAACUCGCCUGCAUGAAGCCGGAAUCGCUAGUAAUCGCGGAUCAGCAUGCCGCGGUGAAUACGUUCCCGGGCCUU
rnacentral:rRNA from 1 species